UUUAAGAGAUACCAAACUAGUGAUGCAACAUAAUGAACCUAUUAACUUGUAUUUUAAAAGAGAACCUUAGAAAGGCCAUACUUAGGACUCUAAAAUUUUCAUUCUACUUAUGAUCUAACCAUGGGGGAUUUUGGAAAGAUCAUAACCUCAGAGAAUGGCAUCAGACUAAUACCUGCAUGGAAAUUUGCACAGGAUUUCAGAUUCCAAUCAUUGAGUUCAGGCCAGUUUAAAUACAAAGCUCGCAAGUAAAUUCACAAGUUCAAUAUUUGAAGACCAAAAUUGACUCAAGAAAAUGCUUUAUAUGCUUAAUUAUCAUUUUAGGAUACUUCAAUUAUGUGAAUACAAGAAAAAAAAAGUAUUUUCUAUUUCACUCUUUUUUUCAUUUGUUUCUUAGAAAAAAACUUAAUUUCUUAAGCAUUUCUUUUCACAUAAAACUUUAUAUUAUAAAAACUAUUACUUGUUAUUUAUUACUAUUAUUAUUGUAAUAAUUCAUACAAUGAUCAAAAGAAAGAAAGAAAGAAAGGAAAAAUCAUUGCAUGAUAAAAUUGCUCUAUAGAAUAUAUUAAGUUAAUAAACAAAUUCAUUUUUAAAAUUUUCUUAUGCUUAUUGUAAGUAAUUCACUUUCAUAGCAAUCACAUUUAGCUCUAGCAUAUUCAAUAUCAAAAACGAAAAAAAAAAGGAACAAAAAGUAAAUAAAUAAAUAAAUAAGUUUCUUCCAGACCAAUAAGCUGAUAUCAAAUUGUCCAACUUUGUAUGAUGAGGUUAGAGAGAUGGCAACCCCAGUUGCAAUCCUAUUGUUUUGGUCAAGGGUUUACUUGUUAUCUAUCAUGCUUAAGGUUAAUCCCCAACAUGAUAAAUCUAGACUUAAUGAUAAAACUUAUGAAAUAGUUUUAUGUUGUUACCUUUUCUACAAAAAGAAAAUAAGAAACUAUUAAUUAUUAAUUUUAUCAAACUUCUAUCACAUUUUCUAAGAAAAAUAGGAAAAAAAAUUCAUUAAUAUCUUGUUGUUUCCUUCUUUUUUUCAAGAUAACAAUGGAGCUACUCCAAAGGUUUCAACUUUUCUAUGCUUUCUCUUUACUGUUGUCUUGACAAAGUCUCACUUUGUCCACCCUGCUAAUAAGCAAACAUGCCAUUGGAGUGAUGAUAUUGGCCCUACUAGGGACUAGAUUUUUAUUCAACUUAAGAGAAACCUAGCCAUAGAAAGUGCAUCCACACAAAGAAAGAAAAAGGAAAUGUCUUAUCUUCAAAAUGAAGGGGCCAAGUAAGAGAGAUGCCUAUUACCCCCACCCAGUAAAAGAAUGAAAAAGAAAAAUCAAAUGAACAUGACAUAAAAGAUAGUAAAAGGUUUGGAGACUGGAAUUCAAUGAAUUAUAGCUCAUUGUAUCAUGUGGAGAGUUAGGCUAUAAACUUGUUUUUAUGCUAGCGAAACAUAGUGAAGCAUUGAAAGGAGAGUUUUUUAAAUUAUUGAUACAUAGGGUAGUCAAUGGAUGACGAGGAUGGCUGAUGUUAGCAAAUAGCUAAACAAGAAGCUUAAUAGUAAACCCCUUUCAGAUAUAUGGCUAGAGGGACUAGUAAGAUGAAAUCAUUAAAUGAAUCUUUGUUUCUUUGAUGGGGAUUGCAUUUUUUUUUCUUUUUCUCUGAUGGAACUUUGAAGUUACAUUAUAUUUUGAGAAAACCAAAAAAACAUGAAAAACUGGAGAAAAAAAAAACACUCGACAAAACUCCUAGCACCCAAAAAUGAAGGUAUAUUAAAGUAAAAGUAAAAUUUUUUGGUUAUUGUGUCUUUGAUUAAAUGAUCUGUAACUUGAAAACCAAAAAGAAACAAAGAAAAAAAAACAAAAAAGAGAAUGAUCAACCAAAAGAAAAAAAAAAAUGAAUCCCAAAUAGUUAGUGUGGAUACAUUGAAGCCUCUUCCACCAAAUCAAUUAGGUGAAAUAUGGGUUCGAGGGCAAACAUGAUGUAGGGCAAAGUUUGAUCAAAAGUUUGUGUUAGUUCCUCUUCGCAACGAUUUCUAACAACAGGUGACCUUAUCUGAAUCGCCCAAUUAAUUAGGUUCCAUUCAAAUCGAACCAUCUUAAUUAGAAAGGAAACAUGGUGGUUAAGACAUCAAUUUUGGUUAAAAUCAAAUUAUUAAUGUUUUAAUUUUGCCUUGUAUUGACUUGUGAAGCCAAACAAUGUAUUCCUAAUCAGACUGCUUAAUCUCACAAGUGGCUUGCCUUGUGCUGUGGGACCUCCUAAGCUAACCCUCAUCUUGCUAACAUCUGAUUUGCCAAAUUAGGCAGAUUAGACCAGUCAGACCUAUUAUAACAUAUAACUGAAUACCUAAGAUCCAAAGUUUGAUUCUUUCAAUUGGUCUUUCAAUUAGAACUCUAUGACAUAUGUGAAAUAUAAAACUGCUUCUGAAUUUUGUAUCUCUUUGUACCAUUGAGUUUCAAAUAUUCCACAUUAAGGAAAAUGGGUUCUCAAUAAAAGAGAAUGAAAUAAUGGUAAGAUUUUCAUUCUCGAAUAUUUAUAAGCCAAUCUUGGCUAUUACAUCUUGAUCUGUAGCUAACUCUCUUGCCAAUUUGGUUGGAGCUAACUCUCUUAGGAUGUGAAUUGCCUGAGAUAUGAUGGCCUCAAAUGACAACAGAAAGGAAAGGAAAAACCAACCAGAAAGAAAAGGAAUUUGAUAAUUAGUAAAUUGGCAGGAAGAAAAAGAAAAUGCAUUCAACCUAGUAGAUAAAAUUAGUAAAGUGUCUCUCUUAUAAGCAUAAGAAUUUCCACUCAAAGAACAAAUAUCAAGCUUAUGUCAAUCAACUGAAUUAAAAAUGUAAAAAUGAGCCUAAAAAGUCAAUUCCUGAUUUUUAAGAAGUUAGAAAAUCACAAAAUUGCAUUUGCCCCAUACAUGAGAUAACAAGAUAUGUAUAGAAGUAAAAGAAUGGUUGGUGAAAAACAGAUGUUGAAGUCCAUUUAAGAUUACCACUUGAAUUUUAAGAAAUUAAAAUUGAGGAAGGUAAAUUAGGAAGCCUUUUCCCUCCAAAAUUGCAUAAACCCCAAAACCUAUCCAAUGUUUCUCCUGAAUAGCAAUUGUACAUGAGAUAAAUAUAAUCAAAUGACAUGAUUUUCAACAUCUGAAUUUUCAGAUAUUUGACAAAAUGCUUUUAGUCCAUACCCAUUAAUUUCGAUAAACUUAAUAUUCAUUUUUCCCCUUCUUCUUAGUGUUUACAUGAAGAACAAAAUUAGUCCAAGGGGGUUACUACUUUGAUGGAUUCAAAAUAAAAAAUAAAUAAAUAGAUAAAUAAAAUGAAAAAAAGAAAAGAAAAAAGAAACAAGAUUAAGAUGAGUCAAAGUGUAGCAUCCUAAUUAGGAAGAGCUUUGUUCUAUCUGAAGCUUCCAUAGCCUUUGAUUUCAUUAGGUGCAGACAAGGCACUAUAAUAAUAGUAGACUGCAUUGAAUUUCAUGUCACUAAAAUUUUCAACUUCAUCUUAUGCACGGAAGACAAAAAAACACAAAAGAGAAGGGACACGAGCAAUCAUUGCUUCCAAGCUAAGCUUCGAUGCACAUGAAAAUGGAAAGAAGAAUAAGAGUGCAGAGAUGGGGUAUGUGAAAGUAUGGUGAGGGAUUGAUACUCAUAAUAAUUAGUAAAUAUAUACCAGGGAAUCCAAACACAAACCUUAACCCUAACCCUAACUAGAAAAAGAGAGAUGAGAGGAAAUAGAAGUGAUGAAAAGAAACCCAAUUUGAAAUCAAAGAAAGAAAGAAAGGAAUAACAGAGUGUGAAGCCGUGGAAGGAAUCGAAAGAAUACCUGGAAGAUGUGGGCGAUGAAGUGGCUAAAGAAAUUGGUCGUUGAGCGAGUUGGUCAUUGAUCUAAGCCCCCUAAGUGAUGAGGAUGUCAGUGAUGACAAGAAUCUACUUGGAGAAAUAUACAGUGAUGAGAAUGGGUAUUAUGGCUUUGGAAGAAGAGUUCAAUGGUCUCAAUGGUGGCUAAGAAGAGUGAAUGAUAAAAGACAUGGCUCUUAGUGGGUCCAGCAAUCUAAACUGAGCAGGAGAGAUAGUGCUUAUAUAGUGGCUCUAUGGUCGCGGACAAGCCCAUGUG
rnacentral:lncRNA from 1 species